UAAAAAAAUAAAAAAUUACCGAUGCAAGAUAAACUAAAACUAAAACUAAAAUAAACGGAUACAAAUCUAUUCUUAUGGAUGGAUAUGGUACCUAAUUACAAAUCAAUAAUGGAGUGAGAUGGACAAAGGAGCAGGAAGUGGUGAACCUUAAUGAAUCGAUGCCCUUGCUUUUGAAAUCCCAAAUGAUUUAACAGAUAGUUAAAAAUAUAAAAAGGCCCUUCAUGUGAAA
rnacentral:misc_RNA from 1 species